UACAGAGGGUGCGAGCGUUAAUCGGAAUUACUGGGCGUAAAGCGCACGUAGAUGGCUUUGUAAGUCAGAUGUGAAAUCCCCGGGCUCAACCUGGGAACUGCAUUUGAAACUGCAUUGCUCGAAUGUGGAAGAGGGAAGCGGAAUUCCAGGUGUAGCGGUGAAAUGCGUAGAUAUCGGAAGGAACACCAGUGGCGAAAGCGACUUCCUGGUCCAAUACUGACGUUCAUGUGCGAAAGCCAGGGGAGCAAACGGG
rnacentral:rRNA from 1 species